rnacentral:rRNA from 1 species
GUGUCAGCCGCCGCGGUAAGACAGAGGGUGCAAACGUUGCUCGGAAUUACUGGGCGUAAAGCGCGUGUAGGCGGGCCAACAAGUCAGAUGUGAAAUCCCUGGGCUCAACCCAGGAACUGCAUUUGAAACUGUUGGCCUUGAGUGGUGGAGAGGGAAGCGGAAUUCCUGGUGUAGAGGUGAAAUUCGUAGAUAUCAGGAGGAACACCGGUGGCGAAGGCGACUUCCUGGACACCAACUGACGCUGAGACGCGAAAGCGUGGGGAGCAAACAGGAUUAGAAACCCCUGUAGUCC